rnacentral:rRNA from 1 species
UACGUAGGCGGAUCAGAAAGUAUAGGGUGAAAUCCCAGGGCUCAACCCUGGAACUGCCUUGUAAACUCCUGGUCUUGAGUUCGAGAGAGGUGAGUGGAAUUCCGAGUGUAGAGGUGAAAUUCGUAGAUAUUUGGAGGAACACCAGUGGCGAAGGCGGCUCACUGGCUCGAUACUGACGCUGAGGUACGAAAGCGUGGGGAGCGAACAGGAUUAGAUACCCUGGUAGUCC